rnacentral:rRNA from 1 species
AUGAAUCUAUGUGUAGCAGUUCUCCUAUUCUACAUGUUCCAGUUGAUUCAUGGACAGCCUGAUUAUCUGGGUUUCAUAAGCAUCGAUUGUGGCAUCCCAGUGAAUUCUACCUACCAAGAUUCCAUUACAAAUAUGGUAUAUGUAUCGGACUAUGGUUUCAUCACCACGGGAGAAAACCGCAUCAUCUCCUCAGAUUACAUGGAGCCAUCACUGGCAAAACGCUAUUCCAAUCUCCGGUUCUUUCCGCAUGGUCCAAGGAAUUGCUACACCCUGAGGUCCCUGGUGAUGGGAAACAAGUACCUUGUUCGUGCCGCCUUCUACUAUGGAAACUAUGAUGGCCUGGGCAAACCUCCUGUCUUUGAUCUUUACCUGGGGGCAAACUACUGGCAUGAAGUUAACUACAGUGAUGCAGGAGCAUUCAACUGGAUGGACAUCAUACUUGUGGCUCCUACUGAUUACUUGCAAGUUUGUUUGGUGAACAAAGGUAUGGGCAAUCCAUUUAUUUCUGGGUUGGAUUUGAGGCCACUGAAUACCACCCUCUACCCAGAGGUCAAUGCAAGUCAAUCGCUCGUGCUGGUUAAUUCUAAUCGGUUCCACAUGGGGCCCACAGACAAUUCAAUAAUCAGGUACCCUUCGGAUCCCCAAGACCGCAUCUGGACGACAUAUAAUGCAAUUCCGAACUGUACUAAGAUAUCUGCAACUUCUCCAAUCCACAAUAACCUCAGGGCUGUCUACGAUGUGCCACCUUCUGUUAUGCAAAAUGCAGCGACUGUUAAUAGCUCAAGAAUUGAUUUCUCAUGGAAUCCAUCUGAUCCAUCGGCGAACAUAAGCUCCAAAUACUUCUUUAUUUUCUACUUUGCUGAGCUGCAGCAUGUACCGAGCAAUGUGGUGCGGCAGUUUGAUAUCAUUGUCAAUAACAAGACAUGGAACAGGCGACCUUACACCCCAACGUUCCUAUUCACCAAUUACUUUUCCGGUGUUGUGCAGGGGAUGGAAAGUUAUAGUGUCUCACUUGUUGCUACAAAAAAUGCAACACUUCCACCUAUCCUCAAUGCCAUGGAGAUGUACUUGGUGAAACCGAUAACUGCGGUUGCAACUGAUCCUGGAGACGCAGCUAGAGCUAUGAUGGCAAUCCAAGACAAUUUUGGUGUGGUAAAAAACUGGAUGGGUGAUCCAUGUACUCCGAAAGCUUUUAUAUGGAGAGGAUUAAACUGCUCAUAUCCACCGGCAAGCCCCUCUGAAAUAAUGGGACUAAACUUGUCUUCCUUUGGGUUAGUUGGUGCCAUCUCUACUAAUUUUAGAGAUCUCAAAGCACUCCAGUAUCUGGAUUUGUCACACAACAACUUAUCUGGUCCCAUUCCAAAUUUUCUUGGGAAACUUUCAUCACUAAUGUUUCUGGAUUUGUCCAGCAAUGAUCUGAGCGGACCAAUUCCUUACAGCCUUUUACAAAGGUCCCAAAAUGGAUCCCUAUCACUAAGGGUCGGUGGCAAUGCAAAUCUUUGUGGCAAUGAUACUUCCUGCAGACCAGUUCGAAAGAAGAUCAAUGGGUCACUUCUCUCUGCAAUAGUCAUUGUGCCAAUAGUUACUGCCAUCGCACUAUUUGUUAUAUUAUUUUUGCUGCGCCAAAUGCUCAAAGGAAAAGCUAAGCGAAAGGCUACUGGUCAUGAAGAUGGAUCAGCAUUACUUGGGAGCCGAGAGUUCUCUUACAAAGAACUGAAGCAUAUUACAAAUAACUUUAGCCAACAGGUAGGAAAGGGUGGGUUUGGACCUGUCUUCCUUGGUUACUUGGAGAAUGGAAACCCAGUUGCAGUGAAAGUGCGUUCUGAGUCAUCUUCCCAAGGGGGCAAAGAGUUUCUGGCUGAGGCUCAGCACUUGACGAGGAUUCAUCACAAGAACUUAGUUUCUUUGAUUGGCUACUGCAAGGACAAAAAUCAUUUGGCUCUUGUUUACGAGUACAUGCCUGAAGGGAGCCUGCAGGAUCAUCUGAGAGCCACUUCUACUAGUAAACCACUCACUUGGAAGCAGCGUCUUCAGAUCGCCCUUGAUGCUGCACACGGUCUUGAGUAUCUGCACAUCGCUUGUAAGCCAGCAUUGAUUCACAGAGAUGUGAAGAGCAGGAACAUCCUCCUGACCACAGAUCUUGGGGCAAAGAUAGCUGAUUUUGGCCUGACCAAGGCUUUCAGCGACUCCGAAACACAUAUAACUACUGAGCCAGCUGGUACCAUUGGGUAUUUAGAUCCUGAGUACUUCCGCAGUUAUCACAUCAGCGAGAAGAGCGACCUGUACAGCUUCGGGGUCGUCCUCCUGGAGCUCAUCACAGGCCAUGCCCCGGUAAUACCGAUUAGUGACAGCAUGAGCAUCCACAUCGGCGAGUGGGUGCAUGAGAGCCUCGACCAUGGAAACAUCGAGAGCAUUGUGGAUGCAAAGAUGGGAGGGGACUAUGACAUCAACUCUGUCUGGAAAGCUGCUGACUUGGCGCUGCAUUGCAAGCAAGAUGUCUCCCGGGAGCGGCCGACUAUGGCGGAGGUCGUGGCCCAGCUUAAGGAGUGCUUGGAGCUCGAGAAUCGUUGCAGUGAGAGGAGAGGAAACUUGUCCUCGAAUGAUGAUAAUUUGACCUGUCCCGGAGAGGGAAGUGCACUUGAGGUAGAAGAAGAAGAAACACAACAGCAACAAGGUGGAGAGAUACAAGCGGCUGCUGGCCCUGCAAUGAGAUGA